rnacentral:rRNA from 1 species
UUUUACCUACGGGGCGCAGCAGUGGGGGAUAUUGCACAAUGGGGGAAACCCUGAUGCAGCGACGCCGCGUGGGUGAAGAAGCGCCUCGGCGCGUAAAGCCCUGUCAGCAGGGAAGAAAAUGACGGUACCUGAAGAAGAAGCCCCGGCUAACUACGUGCCAGCAGCCGCGGUAAUACGUAGGGGGCAAGCGUUAUCCGGAUUUACUGGGUGUAAAGGGGGCGCAGACGGCGAUGCAAGCCAGGAGUGAAAGCCCGGUGCCCAACCCCGGGACUGCUCUUGGAACUGCGUGGCUAGAGGGCAGGAGG